rnacentral:rRNA from 1 species
GGGAAUCUUAGACAAUGGGCGCAAGCCUGAUCUAGCCAUGCCGCGUGAGCGAUGAAGGCCGUAGGGUUGUAAAGCUCUUUCACCGGGGAAGAUAAUGACGGUACCCGGAGAAGAAGCCCCGGCUAACUCCGUUCCAGCAGCCGCGGUAAUACGGAGUGGGCUAGCGUUGUUCGGAAUUACUGGGCGUAAAGCGCGCGUAGGCGGGCUGUUCUGUCGGGGGUGAAAUCCCGGGGCUCAACCACGGAACUGCCUUCGAUACUGGCAGCCUGGAGUCCGAGAGAGGUGAGUGGAAUUCCGAGUGUAGAGGUGAAAUUCGUAGAUAUUCGGAGGAACACCAGUGGCGAAGGCGGCUCACUGGCUCGGUACUGACGCUGAGGUGCGAAAGCGUGGGGAGCAAAC